ensembl:lncRNA LINC02289 long intergenic non-protein coding RNA 2289
UUCAGGAACCUCCUUGUGGCUCUGCCAUGGCGGGGAGGGUUGGGGGUAAGAAAUAUAAGACCCAAUUCCCUGUGGAGGCGGGGAUUCGGUGAAACCAAUCCCUUGAAUGUGGGGUGGAACCAACAUGUAACUCAAUUUGCUUUGGCUCUCACUGUGCAUUUGAGCUAAAGCAAGGGAAGCAUUUCCCCUUCCCCUGGCUGAAAGCUCAGCUGACCCCGAGGCUCUUCUGGUCAUGCUUAGGAUGUCACUAUCAAUCACGCUUCGACUGAGUACAGCCAAACCAGGAUACUCAGGGACUUGGAAUCUGUUACCAGACUUUUAUUUAGUACAGACACAGCGCCAGGGGGCUGAGCAUUCUUCAGCAACACCCUUUGGACCCCUUUCUACACCAUCAUGCUGUAUGAACAGAAGGGUUGGGGACAUG